rnacentral:rRNA from 1 species
UACGAAGGGGGCUAGCGUUGCUCGGAAUUACUGGGCGUAAAGGGCGCGUAGGCGGACGACUUAGUCAGAGGUAAAAGCCCAGGGCUCAACCUUGGAACUGCCUUUGAUACUGGUCGUCUUGAGUUCGGGAGAGGUGAGUGGAACUCCGAGUGUAGAGGUGAAAUUCGUAGAUAUUCGGAAGAACACCAGUGGCGAAGGCGACUCACUGGCCCGAUACUGACGCUGAGGCGCGAAAGCGUGGGGAGCAAACAGG